UACGUAGGGGGCAAGCGUUGUCCGGAAUUACUGGGCGUAAAGCGCGUGUAGGCGGGUCGGCAAGUCGGACGUGAAAGGCUCGGGCUCAACCCGAGAUGGCCGUUCGAAACUGCCGUUCUUGAGGGUCGAAGAGGAGAGUGGAAUUCCUGGUGUAGCGGUGAAAUGCGUAGAGAUCAGGAGGAACACCCAUGGCGAAGGCAGCUCUCUGGUCGACAUCUGACGCUGAGACGCGAAAGCGUGGGGAGCGAACGGG
rnacentral:rRNA from 1 species